GGGGGGAGGCCGGGUCCUGGGCUGUGUCCCGGCGCCCUGUGCUCCGGAGCCUGCGCUGUUGGAUUCGCGCUCCCGGGCCGCGCAGCCCCCU
rnacentral:pre_miRNA from 1 species